UGCGCAACGAAAUACAAGUAGUCCCUUUAUGCUACACAAGAAAAGAAAAGAAAUGUAUGGUGGAAUACAGAGGAGGAGUUGAGGAGUCUUACAGCCUGAGGAAAGCAGCUGCUCUGUGGAUUGGUGGUAAGACAGAGGACUUCUCUAUCGCUUAUCGGAAGGCUGCAGGGUGAUCGGGCUGUUGCUGGGAUGGACCCAGGAGAAUACUGGGACGCCUAAUCUGCUGCUCUACAUGCACAACUGCAGACACAAAACACCCAUACCUACAUCAUCUACAGCUUAAUCUGUUUUUGUAGAAUACAACAGCUUUAAGCCUUUCUCUCCCCCCCGAGUGCUGGUUGUACAGUAGGAUCUUUUUUGGGUGUCAACAAAGAGCUCUACAAAACAA